UAACGCGAAGAACCUUACCAGGUCUUGACAUACUAUGCAAAUCUAAGAGAUUAGGCGUUCCCUUCGGGGACGCAGAUACAGGUGGUGCAUGGCUGUCGUCAGCUCGUGUCGUGAGAUGUUGGGUUAAGUCCCGCAACGAGCGCAACCCUUAUUGUUAGUUGCCAGCAUUCAGUUGGGCACUCUAGCGAGACUGCCGGUGACAAACCGGAGGAAGGCGGGGACGACGUCAGAUCAUCAUGCCCCUUAUGACCUGGGCUACACACGUGCUACAAUGGCGUAUACAACGAGUUGCCAACCUGCGAAGGUGAGCUAAUCUCUUAAAGUACGUCUCAGUUCGGACUGCAGUCUGCAACUCGACUGCACGAAGUCGGAAUCGCUAGUAAUCGCGGAUCAGC
rnacentral:rRNA from 1 species